rnacentral:misc_RNA from 1 species
AAUUUGUGUAUUUAUUACAGUUUGAUUCUAGAACUCCACGAAAUGAACAGCCAACAACGCGAGAGAGAGCAUUUAUAGAUAACCCUGCUCCAGAAACGACUGAUUUUAGAACUCUGCGAAAUGAACAGCCAACAACACGAGAUAGAGCAUUUAUAAAUAACCCUGCUCCAGAAACGUCUGAUUUUAGAACUCUGCAAAAUGAACAGCCAACAACCCGAGAGAGACAAUUUAUAAAUAACCCUGCUCCAGAAACGUUCAAUUUUAGAAAUCCACCUCGGAACACGCCACCAACGACACGAGAUCGAGACGUUAUAGACAGCACACCAAGAACGUUUGAUACCAGAACUCCACAAAAUGAACAGCCAACAACACGAGGGAGAGAUUUUAUAGAUAACACUAAUCGUGAAACGUUUGAUUCUAGAACUCCACGAAAUGAACAGCCAACAACACGAGAGAGAGCAUUUAUAGAUAACCCUGCUCCAGAAACGGUGCGGACAUUUAUUUAUUAGUAUAUUAUUUAUUCAUUUAUUUAUUUAUUCAUUAAUU